rnacentral:piRNA from 1 species
GUAGAUUAGAGAUCCCCUGGGAAG